rnacentral:rRNA from 1 species
AUUGAACGCUGGCGGCAGGCCUAACACAUGCAAGUCGAACGAGUGGCGGACGGGUGAGUAAUGUCUGGGAAACUGCCUGAUGGAGGGGGAUAACUACUGGAAACGGUAGCUAAUACCGCAUACCAUCGGAUGUGCCCAGAUGGGAUUAGCUAGUAGGUGGGGUAAAGGCUCACCAAGGCGACGAUCCCUAGCUGGUCUGAGAGGAUGACCAGCCACACUGUAACUGAGACACGGUCAAGACUCCUACGGGAGGCAGCAGUGGUGAAUAUUGACCAAUGGGCGCAAGCCGUAUGCAGCAAUGCCGCGUGGAUGAAGAAGGCAUUCGGGUUGUAAAGUACUUUCAGCGGGGAGGCGUUACCCGCAGAAGAAGCACCGGCUAACUCCGUGCCAGCAGCCGCGGUAAUUC